rnacentral:lncRNA from 1 species
GCUGUAGUACUGGAAGGUAUACCGGAUACAGUGCCAUAUAUUUCAGAAUCUAACUUUGUUUUCUUGUGAAUCUCUGAACCUCCUAAACCAAAUGCGCUGCAAUUUCUUCUAAUGUUGUCAAUCCCUAACAUGUCUGAGCAGACCGAUCCCAUCUGGCUAAAAGCGCUGCAAUUUCUUCUAAUAUUGUCAAUCCCUAACAUGUCUGAGCAGACCGAUCCCAUCUGGCUAAAAGUUUUAGGUUGAAACUCGGAAAUGUGGCACUGAUCUCUCUUGGAUCCUCUUUUUUCGUGUGCAG